rnacentral:rRNA from 1 species
AACGCUGGCGGCAUGCCUAACACAUGCAAGUCGAACGCCCUCUUCGGAGGGAGUGGCGCACGGGUGCGUAACGCGUGGGAAUCUGCCCUUGGGUUCGGAAUAACUUCGGGAAACUGAAGCUAAUACCGGAUGAUGACGUAAGUCCAAAGAUUUAUCGCCCAAGGAUGAGCCCGCGUAGGAUUAGCUAGUUGGUGAGGUAAAGGCUCACCAAGGCGACGAUCCUUAGCUGGUCUGAGAGGAUGAUCAGCCACACUGGGACUGAGACACGGCCCAGACUCCUACGGGAGGCAGCAGUGGGAAUAUUGGACAAUGGGCGAAAGCCUGAUCCAGCAAUGCCGCGUGAGUGAUGAAGGCCUUAGGGUUGUAAAGCUCUUUUACCCGGGAUGAUAAUGACAGUACCGGGAGAAUAAGCUCCGGCUAACUCCGUG